rnacentral:tRNA from 1 species
GCCGGCGUAGCUCAGCUGGUAGAGCAACUGAUUUGUAAUCAGUAGGUCGGGGGUUCGAUUCCCUUUGCCGGCU